GCUUUUUCUGUCUAUCGGUCCUUGUGUCUAUCACUCGCUGAGGUCAGCUGCCACACCAAUUCUUUGGUGUGGCUAGGCAAGAACCUUAGGUGUUACAUUUUGGCGAGCCAGCCAGGAGUCUCCAGAAAAGGCUUCUAGAUCGUCACAUGCUUCUUCCCUCCAGGUAAAUUGCGGAAGUGAUACUCAGAAUUAAACUGUCAGGAUGCUGUGAUUCUGCUGCAUGCUCCAGACAGCUGGCCAUUAGGGAGCACUGCAGGCUUGGAAGAGGUGACUUGUCUCCAUCUUGUACAGCCCUCUGCGUAGAGCAGCUGUCAUCUGAAUACGGAUGCUGAUCUCCAAUAGAAGGUCCAGUUUGGUUACAGAGAGUUACAGCAAAGUGAAACUUCAAGAACUAGUUUUUUUUGGACCAUCCCAGUGCACAUGAAUCAGGUGAUUUUAUCUUUUGUUCCUCUCCUUGCUAUCCCUAAUCUGUCAGGCAGUCCUAAAUCUAUACCAUCAGGCUUGUUUGCUCUACUUCUCUAUCCUUUUAUCAUGGUUCCAUUAACUCACAUCCAAGGAUGUCAAGAGAAUAAAUAGCCCAAUAAAACAAAAGAAUAUACUUCCAGAUUUAAAAAGAAAGGAACAUACAAGAAAUACAUAAAUCAUACUAUAUGACAAUAGCCCAGAAGAUUGCAUGGAGGAUCUUUGUGUUUCCUGUAGAAGAAAAGAAAAAUGGAAUUUCCAUCUCUUGCAUCAGCACUUGACAGCUGGAGUUAUUGUUUACCACGCACCAAGAAAGGAGGGAUAUGCAUCAGAAAUCAUUUUGGCUGAAAUAAGCACAACUCCAUGGAGGACGAUGACACAUUUUCUCUGGUGAUCUUAUAAUUGGGGAUGAUGUAAACAUGAGUCUAAUCUGCAUUUUUUUCUAAGAAAUUCUGCAUCAUGAACAUCUUCUCCUAAUAAAACAUGGUUCCUUACAACAUGA